UUUCUCCUUCCUGCCACCUUGUGAAGGAGGUUGUCUUGCUUCCCCUUUGCCUUCCGCCAUGAUUGUGAGUUUCCUGAGACCUUCUGAGCCAGGAUGAACUGUUGACAAGAUCAACAAUUUCCCUGAACGGUGUAGCAGGAAGGACUUCAGCAGAGCCAACAAGGAAUUCUCAAAAGUAAACUAAGUACCUGGACCCCCAAAGCCCCAGCAAUGGACACAGGACACCAUUCUUGCGCUUCCUUCCCACCACAGACACAGGUCCAGAAAUGACUGUGAAUGCAUCUGGGAUGACCACCAGAGACCA
rnacentral:lncRNA from 10 species